rnacentral:lncRNA from 1 species
AGUCUUUUAGAGGCUGCCCAAAGUGCCCUUGGUCCAACAUGUGCCUUCUAUGUGCAUGUGUGAAGGGAAAAACGUGGAGCAUGUCUUGAAUUGCAAGUGGGGGGCUCUUUGGUCUUUUAAUUACUGUCCAAGGUCUUCAAGAUACUGCCCAAGGUGUGUCCAAGAGGCUGCCCACGUUUUUGGAGGUUGCCCAUUCACUAAAGAGGAAGGUGGAGACUCCUUU